rnacentral:rRNA from 1 species
CAACUCGCCUACAUGAAGUCGGAAUUGCUAGUAAUCGCGGAUCAGCAUGCCGCGGUGAAUACGUUCCCGGGCCUUGUACACACCGCCCGUCACACCAUGGGAGUCGGUAACACCCGAAGCCUGUAGUCUAACCGCAAGGAGGACGCAGUCGAAGGUGGGAUUGAUGACUGGGGUGAAGUCGUAACAAGGUAGC